GGCAGGGAACAGUUGCGAGAACACACAGGGCAAAGGCUAGCAGCUGUAUUUUCCACUGGCGGACACUAUGGUGAAGGAAGUGAGCGUCAGGAGGCAGAGAGGCCAGGCCACGACCUUACUCUGUGCACAGCGGGAGCUUAUAGAAGGCGCUAGGGAGGGCACCCCAGGUCGGCUUUGUGUUUUAGGGGCCCUGCCCCUUCAGUAUGUCCUGGGGAGAACAAUGUGGGGUGGCUAUAGCAGCCUUGAAAGAGAUGGAAGGAGGAUUGGGGCAGAGGAGCAGAGAAAGCUGAAACAUCAGGGAUAUUUUAGGAGGUGAUAAAAGGUGAGGACAGGGAUGGUCCACGACAGAAUCCCCGGUGACUGCUGCAGAGUGAGAUGGGCACGGAGGCCAGCGAUGUGGGCAAUGGAAACACCAAGGCCAGAAAAAAGAGAAAGCGUUCAUGAGGAACGAGAACUAACACCGCAAGGAGCAGAAGCCUCAGCUCUGCCAAAACUGACCAGCAGGGAGGCGCAUCUGAGCUGGAGCCUGCCAAAGUGGAGCAAAGGGGUCUUGUGUCUCAUUGUGCAACUGAAGACAGUGACCUGUGGAUGAAAAACACACGGAGUCCGCCCGAGGAACUGGCCUGAGGUGUGGCUUGGACAUUGCAACUUUCAGCAUCUCCACAGCGGCGCAGAAUACCCAGGUAUGGCUGAGAACCAUUGCUCCAGGACAUGCCCAAGCAAUCACCAAGUCAGAAGGGUCUAUUGAAGGGCCAGAGGCACUCAGGUCUCAGAGACAUGUGCUCCCUUUGUAAGAGUCCCUGGGGUCAGGGGAGAAGAGCUCCCUGUCUGCUGCCUUGCUCUGACCCCGCCACCUCGCCCCUGGAAGGUCCUAAGGGUAUGCAGCUCCAUUCAAGAACCGUGCUUCGGGACCAGGGGCAGUGUGCUGGCCAGGGGACAUUUGCAAUGUCUGGAGAUGUUUGGUUGUCCUACUGGAGGAACAUGCUGCCGGCACCUAGUGACAGAGGCCAGGGUGCUGAUUAACACCCUGCAGUACGCAGGACAGCCCUACAAACAAAGAAGCAUCGGGCCAACACUUCAAUGUGCCGAAGGAGAAAUCAUGUUCUGUAAUGAGACCUCUCUUCUCUCCUUUAAACGUUUCACAUCUAAGCAAGGUACAGCUCACAGCAGCACAGCGGGCACCCAAACACAGCGCAAGUGUGUCCUUAUGGCCCUCAUUAAACUUCCUUGGAGAACCUGACUAGGAUUAGGGAAUGUUCUUCAACCUGUGGUAUCUCGGUUUGCUAUAAUCACAGGCUGAAAUCUUGAUGAGGUGGGCAACUUUGUUCCACCAUUCGUUCUCUGCCCUGAUGUUCGGCCUCCCCUCAGGCUCACAGCAGUGGGACAAAGCAACUAUGGAACAAAUUCUCUGAAACUGCGAGCCAAAAUAAAUCCUCUCUUCUCUUGUUUAUCUAAGAUAUUUUUGACUGUGACAGAAAACUUACUCAUAUAACUAGUAAUAAGGUGUACUACUAAGGUUAGUAAACAGAGGAGUAAACUUAAGAAAGGUCCCCCUAGAGGUUGACCUGUGGGUCUUGUUGGAAAUUCUGUGGCUCAUUGGGUGGCAGAGAAAGUUUGUAGGGUGCCACAGCUGAAGCAGAUGAACUCUAUAAACAGGCAUGGGGAUGCAUGCUUAUAAUUCCAGCACUCUGGAGGGCUGAGGUAGGAGGAUCCCAAAUUCAAACCCAGCUUGGGCAUCUAAGCAAGACCCUUUCUCAAAAUAAAAUUAAAAAAAAAUAGAAAAAGGUUGGAAAUGUAGCUUAGUGGAAAGGCUCUGACUUUAACCCCCUGUACCAAAAACCAAACAAUAUGGACUCCAUGCAGGUGGCAGUGGGACUUGACAGGAAGCUGUCCAGGAGUGCAGAGGGAUUUCCUGGGAACGGAGCCAGGGCCCCUGCAAACCUACUUGGAAGACGCCCAUGUGGGAAUGGCAAGUAACAUGCCGCUGAACUCCCCGAGAAGACAGCUGUGGAAGGCAUGGCUUUCUAGAGUGAGCUGUAUGCCCCCUAAAUUUAUGCGUUGAAGCUCUGUUCCCCAGCGUAGCUGUAUUUGGAGGAAAGAUGGAAUUACAACUAAAUGGGGUCAGAAGGGCUGAGCCCUGAAUUGGUAGCACUUAUCAAUGGCGACACUAUUCUAGAGGCCUCCUCUGACAAAGAUGAGCACCACGCACAGUCAGCAAAGGAGAACUGCUGAGAAGGCCAGCUCCAGUGCCACAAACAGGAUGCAGAAAGGGGCACGUGUGGGUUCAAGUCAAUAAAUUGAUGACUGACAUAUA